rnacentral:misc_RNA from 1 species
GAUGAAGAACGCAGCGAAAUGCGAUACGUAAUGUGAAUUGCAGAAUUCAGUGAAUCAUCGAAUCUUUGAACGCACAUUGCGCUCUCUGGUAUUCCGGAGAGCAUGCUUGUUUGAGUAUCAGUAAACACCUCAACUCCUUUAUUGUAGUUGGACUUGAGCUAUCCCAACAGGACUUUUUGUUCCUGGCGGGAGGCUUGAAAUGCGGGUGCAGCUGGACUUUCUUCUGAGCUAUAAGCAUAUUUAUUUAAUCCCUUAACACGGAUUAUUACUUUUUUGCUGCAGCUAACAUAAAGGUUGAAUUUCCAUUGAGCUGACUGAUGCAGGAAUUUGGCAAGGAAUUUUUUUAAUGACUUGUUAAACUCGAUCUCAAAUCAAGUAAGACUACCCGCUGAACUUAAGCAUAUCAAUAAGCGGAGGA